CCUACGGGAGGCAGCAGUGAGGAAUAUUGGUCAAUGGACGAGAGUCUGAACCAGCCAAGUAGCGUGAAGGAUGACUGCCCUAUGGGUUGUAAACUUCUUUUAUAUGGGAAUAAAAUGUUCCACGUGUGGGAUUUUGUAUGUACCAUAUGAAUAAGGAUCGGCUAACUCCGUGCCAGCAGCCGCGGUAAUACGGAGGAUCCGAGCGUUAUCCGGAUUUAUUGGGUUUAAAGGGAGCGUAGGUGGAUUGUUAAGGCAGUUGUGAAAGUUUGCGGCCCAACCGUAAAAUUGCAGUUGAAACUGGCAGUCUUGAGUACAGUAGAGGUAAGCGGAAUUCGUGGUGUAGCGGUGAAAUGCUUAGAUAUCACGAAGAACUCCGAUUGCGAAGGCAGUUCACUGGACUGCAACUGACACUGAGGCUCGAAAGUGUGGGUAUCAAACAGGAUUAGAUACCCUUGUAGUC
rnacentral:rRNA from 1 species